GUGGGGAAUAUUGGACAAUGGGCGAAAGCCUGAUCCAGCCAUGCCGCGUGUGUGAAGAAGGUCUUCGGAUUGUAAAGCACUUUAAGUUGGGAGGAAGGGCAGUAAGCUAAUACCUUGCUGUUUUGACGUUACCGACAGAAUAAGCACCGGCUAACUUCGUGCCAGCAGCCGCGGUAAUACGAAGGGUGCAAGCGUUAAUCGGAAUUACUGGGCGUAAAGCGCGCGUAGGUGGUUUUGUAAGUUGAAGGUGAAAUCCCCGGGCUCAACCUGGGAACUGCCUCCAAAACUGCAUGACUAGAGUACGGUAGAGGGUAGUGGAAUUUCCUGUGUAGCGGUGAAAUGCGUAGAUAUAGGAAGGAACACCAGUGGCGAAGGCGACUACCUGGACUGAUACUGACACUGAGGUGCAAAAGCGUGGGGAGCAAACAGGAUUAGAUACCCGAGUAGUCC
rnacentral:rRNA from 1 species